UACAGAGGGGGCAAGCGUUGUUCGGAAUUACUGGGCGUAAAGCGUGCGCAGGCGGCUUUGCAAGACAGAUGUGAAAUCCCCGGGCUCAACCUGGGAACUGCAUUUGUGACUGCAUGGCUGGAGUGCGGCAGAGGGGGAUGGAAUUCCGCGUGUAGCAGUGAAAUGCGCAGAUAUCAGGAAGAACACCCGUGGCGAAGGCGGCUCUCUGGGACGGUACUGACGCUGAGACGCGAAAGCGUGGGGAGCGAACAGG
rnacentral:rRNA from 1 species